rnacentral:rRNA from 1 species
CAAUAGCGUAUAUUAAAGUUGUUGCAGUUAAAAAGCUCGUAGUUGGAUUUCUGGUUGAAGUGACCGGUCGGGCGUUGAUUCGUCUGCACUGGAGUCGGUUUUGGCCAUCCUCUAGGAAAGUGCGUCUGGUAUUAAGUUAUCGGGCGUAUGAUCCUGGUCUUUUACUGUGAAAAAAUUAGAGUGUUUAAAGCAGGCCUUCGCCUUGAAUACAUUAGCAUGGAAUAAUAAGAUAGGACUUUGGUCUAUUUUGUUGGUUUGCAGACCGAAGUAAUGAUUAAUAGGGAUAGUUGGGGGUAUUUAUAUUCCGAUGUCAGAGGUGAAAUUCUUAGAUUUUCGGAAGAUAAACUUAUGCGAAAGCAUUUACCAAGGAUGUUUUCAUUAA